rnacentral:SRP_RNA from 1 species
GCUGGGUGUGGUGGCUCACACCUGUAAUCCCAGCACCUUGGGGGGCUGAGGCUGGUGGAUUGCUUGAGGCCAGGAGUUGGAGACCAGCCUGGCCAACAUGGCAAAACCCCGUCUCUA